rnacentral:rRNA from 1 species
AUUGAACGCUGGCGGCAUGCUUUACACAUGCAAGUCGAACGGUAACAGGCCGCAAGGUGCUGACGAGUGGCGAACGGGUGAGUAAUGCAUCGGAACGUGCCCAGUCGUGGGGGAUAACUACUCGAAAGAGUAGCUAAUACCGCAUACGAUCUAUGGCUGAAAGCGGGGGACCGUAAGGCCUCGCGCGAUUUGAGCGGCCGAUGUCAGAUUAGGUAGUUGGUGGGGUAAAGGCUCACCAAGCCAACGAUCUGUAGCUGGUCUGAGAGGACGACCAGCCACACUGGGACUGAGACACGGCCCAGACUCCUACGGGAGGCAGCAGUGGGGAAUUUUGGACAAUGGGCGCAAGCCUGAUCCAGCAAUGCCGCGUGCAGGAAGAAGGCCUUCGGGUUGUAAACUGCUUUUGUACGGAACGAAACGGCUCUGGUUAAUACCCGGGGCUAAUGACGGUACCGUAAGAAUAAGCACCGGCUAACUACGUG